GACUAUCUAGCUCAGUGGUUAGAGCACCUAUCCAUUGUUUUACAGGAGGUCCCAGAUUUGAUUCCUGAUGUAGUCA